UACGGAGGAUCCAAGCGUUAUCCGGAUUUAUUGGGCGUAAAGAGCGUGUAGGCGGCCAUGUAGGUCCGUUGUGAAAACUCGAGGCUCAACCUCGAGACGCCGAUGGAAACCAUGUGGCUAGAGUCCGGAAGAGGAGAGUGGAAUUCCUGGUGUAGCGGUGAAAUGCGCAGAUAUCAGGAAGAACACCCGUGGCUAAGGCGGCUCUCUAGUACGGUACUGACGCUGAGACGCGAAAGCGUGGGGAGCGAACAGG
rnacentral:rRNA from 1 species